CUCUGAGCAGUGGGCACAGUAGCUACAUCAUCGCAUGGCAUCAGCAGCAGCCAGGGAAGGCCCCUCGGUACUUGAUGAAGCUUGAAGGUAGUGGAAGCUACAACAAGGGGAGCGGAGUUCCUGAUCGCUUCUCAGGCUCCAGCUCUGGGGCUGACCGCUACCUCACCAUCUCCAACCUCCAGUUUGAGGAUGAGGCUGAUUAUUACUGUGAGACCUGGGACAGUAACACUCACACA
rnacentral:lncRNA from 1 species